AUUGAACGCUGGCGGAAUGCUUUACACAUGCAAGUCGAACGGUAGAGGGGGCAACCCCUUGAGAGUGGCGAACGGGUGAGUAAUAUAUCGGAACGUGCCCAGUCGUGGGGAUAACGUAGCGAAAGUUACGCUAAUACCGCAUACGAUCUACGGAUGAAAGCGGGGGACUCGCAAGAGCCUCGCGCGAUUGGAGCGGCCGAUAUCAGAUUAGGUAGUUGGUGGGGUAAAGGCUCACCAAGCCAACGAUCUGUAGCUGGUCUGAGAGGACGACCAGCCACACUGGAACUGAGACACGGUCCAGACUCCUACGGGAGGCAGCAGUGGGGAAUUUUGGACAAUGGACGCAAGUCUGAUCCAGCCAUUCCGCGUGCAGGAUGAAGGCCCUCGGGUUGUAAAGCUCUUUUGUCCGGGAAGAUAAUGACUGUACCGGAAGAAUAAGCCCGGCUAACUUCGUGCCAGCAGCCGCGGUAAAGUGACUACUG
rnacentral:rRNA from 1 species